UACGAAGGGGGCUAGCGUUGUUCGGAAUUACUGGGCGUAAAGGGCGCGUAGGCGGCCUACCAAGUCAGGCGUGAAAGCCCCGGGCUUAACCUGGGAACUGCGUUUGAGACUGGUAAGCUUGAGUUCGGGAGAGGUGAGUGGAAUUCCCAGUGUAGAGGUGAAAUUCGUAGAUAUUGGGAAGAACACCGGUGGCGAAGGCGGCUCACUGGACCGACACUGACGCUGAGGCGCGAAAGCGUGGGGAGCAAACAGG
rnacentral:rRNA from 1 species